UACGUAGGGGGCAAGCGUUGUCCGGAUUUAUUGGGCGUAAAGAGCUCGUAGGCGGUUUGUCGCGUCUGCCGUGAAAGUCCGGGGCUCAACUCCGGAUCUGCGGUGGGUACGGGCAGACUAGAGUGAUGUAGGGGAGACUGGAAUUCCUGGUGUAGCGGUGAAAUGCGCAGAUAUCAGGAGGAACACCGAUGGCGAAGGCAGGUCUCUGGGCAUUACCUGACGCUGAGGAGCGAAAGUGUGGGGAGCGAACAGG
rnacentral:rRNA from 1 species